AUUGAACGCUGGCGGCAGGCCUAACACAUGCAAGUCGAGCGGAUGAAGGGAGCUUGCUCCUGGAUUCAGCGGCGGACGGGCGAGUAAUGCCUAGGAAUCUGCCUGGUAGUGGGGGAUAACGUCCGGAAACGGGCGCUAAUACCGCAUACGUCCUGAGGGAGAAAGUGGGGGAUCUUCGGACCUCACGCUAUCAGAUGAGCCUAGGUCGGAUUAGCUAGUUGGUGGGGUAAAGGCCUACCAAGGCGACGAUCCGUAACUGGUCUGAGAGGAUGAUCAGUCACACUGGAACUGAGACACGGUCCAGACUCCUACGGGAGGCAGCAGUGGGGAAUAUUGGACAAUGGGCGAAAGCCUGAUCCAGCCAUGCCGCGUGUGUGAAGAAGGUCUUCGGAUUGUAAAGCACUUUAAGUUGGGAGGAAGGGCAGUACGUUAAUACCUUGCUGUUUUGACGUUACCAACAGAAUAAGCACCGGCUAACUUCGUG
rnacentral:rRNA from 1 species